UACGUAGGUGGCAAGCGUUGUCCGGAAUUAUUGGGCGUAAAGCGCGCGCAGGCGGUUUCUUAAGUCUGAUGUGAAAUCUCGCGGCUCAACCGCGAGCGGUCAUUGGAAACUGGGAGACUUGAGUGCAGAAGAGGAGAGUGGAAUUCCACGUGUAGCGGUGAAAUGCGUAGAGAUGUGGAGGAACACCAGUGGCGAAGGCGACUCUCUGGUCUGUAACUGACGCUGAGGCGCGAAAGCGUGGGGAGCGAACAGG
rnacentral:rRNA from 1 species